UACGUAGGGAGCAAGCGUUGUCCGGAAUCAUUGGGCGUAAAGCGCGCGUAGGCGGCCUCAUAAGUCCGUUGUGAAAGUCAAAGGCUCAACCUUUGAAAGCCGAUGGAUACUGUGAGGCUAGAGUCCGGGAAGAGGCGAGUGGAAUUCCUGGUGUAGCGGUGAAAUGCGCAGAUAUCAGGAGGAACACCGGUGGCGAAGGCGGGUCUCUGGGCCGUAACUGACGCUGAGGAGCGAAAGCAUGGGGAGCGAACAGG
rnacentral:rRNA from 1 species